UUCUCUUGCGCAGACUAGUUUCUGAGGGAU
rnacentral:piRNA from 1 species